GACGAACGCUGGCGGCGUGCUUAACACAUGCAAGUCGAGCGGUAAGGCCCUUUCGGGGUACACGAGCGGCGAACGGGUGAGUAACACGUGGGUGACCUGCCCUCAGCUCUGGGAUAAGCCUGGGAAACCGGGUCGUAAUACCGGAUAUGACUCCAUGACGCAUGUUGUGGGGUGGAAAGCCUUGUGUGGCUAGAGAUGGGCCCGCGGCCUAUCAGCUUGUUGGUGGGGUGAUGGCCUACCAAGG
rnacentral:rRNA from 1 species